GUUUAUUUUAUUUCUGUUAUACUUUGCUUUUAUCCUAGUCAUCUUCACUCCAUUUUUUGUGUACCAGAUCUCUUAAGAAAUCCUUUAGAGGAGUGUACAUAUGCAUAUGUGUGCUUUCCUUAUCAUAUAGUAUGGAGAGGCCUAUUUAAAACAUCCUUUUGAGGAGGUUAAGUUUAAAAUGUAUUAUUGCUGCAUGGAAGGUUAUUUCUUAAUUUUACUCCUCCCAUCCAUUUACAAUUAAUCACUGUGUGACACAUUGUCUGGUGUCUUUUCUAGAUAUUUUGUCAUUGUAUAAAACUAAAUUUGAUCAACAGAAAGAUGUUUGUUAAGCACCUGCUGGUAAGUGUUAAGACCAGUUUCCCCACUAUUGACCAUAUUCUCUGAUCUUAAAACCUAAGUCAUCCGUGAUUUAUACUUCUCUUCAUUUCCUUUGCUCUGUGUAUUUUGUCUAUUAACCAGGGACGUUGACCUUUCCAAAACAUUCUCUUGAUCCUUUCUCUUAAUUUCUAGAGUCAAGCCCUAGUCCAUGCUACAUUUAUGGUCUCCUUCAGAUUAAUUUAAAUAUAUCCCCUUUCCCCAUAUGCUUAUUUUUUUAUUUCCUUCUGCAUUCAGAAAACUGCUCUAAGUUUUUACUAUAUGCCAAAUACUGUGUUAAGCAUAGGAAUUGGUAGGAUCAUCGGUGAGACACUUAUAAUGCAAAUAGACAUACAGAGCUUGGGAGGCCUUACUUGCCUGGGUUUGGAGAGAAGAGAAGUUGGGUCAGGGAAGGUUUCAGUAAGCAUGCAUUAACUAAGCAAAGUUAACACUUUUAUAGGAAUUCAGUGAGUGUUCAAGUGAGUUAGGUUGUUCUGUAUAAAAGGAAACAGUAACCGCAAAGGCAGAGAAGGUAUGAGAGGGCUCAAUAUGUUCACAGAACCACACAUAAUUUGGCAUGGCUACAGUGGUGUAAGUGUGCUUGUUUGGACAUAGGAAGCAAGUGGCAGAAAAUGAGUCUGGAAAGAAAAGGGGUCAGAUUAUGAUGAAUUGUAUAUUCAUUUAUUCACUUAUUAAUCUAAUAUAGUUUGAGUUCCUAUGUAUCUGUCACUGUUGUAAGCACUGAAGUAGACAUAUUUCCUGCCCUCACAGAACUUACAGUGUCCCAAAGGAACAGACAGGUAAACAAAUAGUUCUGUAACUGAAGGCCUACAGUUGCUCCUGAUUGCUCAGAAGAGGAGCACUUAACCAAAUUUUGGAGGUCAGAUAGUACUUCCUGAAGAUGUAGCAUCUAAGUUGGAACCUGAGAGAUGAGAGAGAAUUAGCCAAAUGCAGUGGACAGGAAGAAGACUAUAUUAGAGGGAGAAAGUCAUGAAGGAAAAGCCCAUUAAGAGGCAAGAGCCUGGUACAUUCAUGCAACUGAAAGCCCAGAGUGGCUUAGAUCUGGUGAGAAUAGUGACAGAUGAAGCUAGCCAGGUCCUGCAAGACUUCUAAUCAGGGCUAAAGGUUUUGAAGUUCAUUACAUUGUAGGCACAGGCCACACUCUGAAGAAUUUUGCACUAGAGAAUUAUAUGAUGAGAUUUACAUUUCAAAUAUGGUUUAAAGAGAAUAAAAGCAAAAGCAGAGGCAGUGGCAUAUAUAAAGCAUUUAACUCUCCUGUAGACUCCUUUUAAAGAAAAAAAAUGUAAAAAUAAGUAAAUAAAAAAUGAAAGCAGAAACAUAAGUUUCAAACAUUUUUUUGGCCAUAUUCUUUUUAUUGAAAACUCAAGCAAUGAUUGUGUCUUUUAAGUGACUGGAUUUUAAAUACUAUUGAACAUGUGUUAACACUCUGCAUCCUUCUGACUCACAGAUCCCAUUCAGUGAAGCAGAAGCCUCUACUCAAAAACUUCCCAAUUACUGCUUCAGUGCUUUUGUGUGUGCCAAAGUGCCUUCCUGAAAUACUGUCCCAUAACCCUUCAUUCCAUUAAAUGUAUUUUGCUAAAA